CGUAGGGGGCAAGCGUUAUCCGGAUUUACUGGGUGUAAAGGGAGCGUAGACGGACUGGCAAGUCUGAUGUGAAAGGCGGGGGCUCAACCCCUGGACUGCAUUGGAAACUGUUAGUCUUGAGUGCCGGAGAGGUAAGCGGAAUUCCUAGUGUAGCGGUGAAAUGCGUAGAUAUUAGGAGGAACACCAGUGGCGAAGGCGGCUUACUGGACGGUAACUGACGUUGAGGCUCGAAAGCGUGGGGAGCAAACAGGAUU
rnacentral:rRNA from 1 species